UACGUAGGGUGCAAGCGUUUGUCCGGAAUUAUUGGGCGUAAAGAGCUCGUAGGCGGUUUGUUGCGUCGGCUGUGAAAUCCCGAGGCUCAACCUCGGGUCUGCAGUCGAUACGAGCAAACUAGAGUGUUGCAGGGGAGACUGGAAUUCCUGGUGUAGCGGUGAAAUGACGCAGAUAUCAGGAGGAACACCGGUGGCGAAGGCGGGUCUCUGGGCAACAACUGACGCUGAGGAGCGAAAGCGUGGGGAGCGAACAGG
rnacentral:rRNA from 1 species